rnacentral:rRNA from 1 species
UACGGAGGGUGCAAGCGUUAUCCGGAUUUACUGGGUUUAAAGGGUGCGUAGGUGGGUAAGUAAGUCAGUGGUGAAAUCUCCGGGCUUAACCCGGAAACUGCCAUUGAUACUAUUUGUCUUGAAUACUGUGGAGGUCAGCGGAAUAUGUCAUGUAGCGGUGAAAUGCUUAGAUAUGACAUAGAACACCAAUUGCGAAGGCAGCCUGGCUACACAAAUAUUGACACUGAGGCACGAAAGCCGUGGGGAUCAAACAGG